rnacentral:tRNA from 1 species
GGGGGUAUAGCUCAGUGGGAGAGCGCUGCCCUUACAAGGCAGAUGUCGCAGGUUCAAUCCCUGCUACCCCCACCA